AUGACCUGAUAAAGAGAAUAAAUAUAGAUAUGCAUACAGUAGUCAGAAUAACUACAGUGGAAAUUACCCUAAAGUUCCGAAGUCUCUAAAUUGCAACCUAGAGAAGACUUGCAUCUGGGCUGAGGUACAUCUUGUGAUUCAAGAGCCAAGGGAGCACACCAAAGAAAGAAAGCCUGUUUUGGGACAAGAAUUAGACCAAGAAAUAACAGUGCAUCUCCAAUUAAUAGUGAGUGGCCAGAAUGUGGAGCUGACGAUCCAUUGUGACAAAACCUCAGAAGAAAAUUUUGAAUUUGUGAAUGGCUUUUAGCAGAAAUGAGGCAGAGUCUCUAGCCCCCUGGUCUGCCAGAACCAUCAGAAUGGCAGUACCACUGAGCCCUUCGUCCGAUCCAGCCAAUAAAAAUAAUAUGGUUGUGUGUAACCAGGCAUCGCGUUGCCGACUAGCAGAGAACCAGCGGGAAAUGCAAGAUCUGAAAGAGAUAGUUCAUCAUUUCAGCUUCCUCCUCCACCAAGAGGAAAACAAUUAUGGUGAGGGCCAAGAGGUGAUUCAAUCCAGGCUAAGGGAGAAGCCAGCACUUGGAACUCCACAGCUUGAGAAGCUGGCACCUGCUGAGUUCAAGAAAUGCCAUGUAAAUAAGGCACGCACCCGCAAGCGGCGCUGGCUACGUAAGAAGUCAAGAAAACAGACACAGAUUUGUCAUCUCAGCCUACAUCCCAGAGCCCUCCUCACCCAGCAUGACCCUGACAGCCACCACACAUGGGGCUUGCUGGAGCCACUGGUUGUUCACGUCAGGCUGGAAAAGCAUCUUGUCUACAAAUGUAGCCUGGCAAAAGAAAUGACGCAAAUGAAGGGUGGUUGCUGGGACUUAAUCUGCCCCAGCAGGAUCAGUGGGUGCUUUCCACCUCAAGUAGAGCCUGAGUUGGUACCAGGGCUGAUCAUGGGUGAAUAUUGUUGGUGCAUCAUCAUGAAAGCCACGCUGGUUAUGCAGCAGCAUUAUCCUGGUGGUGGCUGGACGAUAGUGCUGGAAGAGUACUCGUGGUGCACAAGGUUUGGAGUCUAUGGGAAUUCCCUUGAGGACAGAGUGCCACAUGAAGCCAAACCUGUAUUGUGUGAAAGCCGAUCUCUAGCUGAAGGGCAUCGCAUCAUGGCAUGCACACACCUUGCAGAUGCACCUUACAUGUGGCAUGCCUCCUGGGGGGACAAGCUGGAAAUACUGUUCCAGGCCUGGGCCAGGGUCCAGCAGCCCUUAGCCCAGCAGUCCAUCCACUGGAUAGAGGCCAUUGAGGGGUAUGAUACCUCCUCCCAAAAGGAUGAAGUGGUAUCUGCAGACAGAGCUGAGGUUAUCCCCAGGGUGUGUGGAGAUCCACCCCCACUGGAAGGGCCAGAUACCAUCGUGCCCAUCCUCAAGGAAGAUGGAUCCUACCUGCUCUGUGGAUUUUGGGCUGAUGAGCCUGAAGCACCAGCCCAGGCCUGGUCUGAGACUGUGAAAUGUACAAUCCAGCAGCCCAUCUGCUGUGCUGAGGCCAUUGUGGUGGAAGACCUUUCCUACAAAAAGGAGGAAGGGGAGGUGGCAACUGCAGUCCAGGCUGAGCUUAUCCCCAGGGUGUGUGGAGAUCCACCCCCACUGGAAAGGCCAGAUGUCAUCCUGCCUAUCCUGAAGGAUGACGGGUCCUACAUGCUCUGUGGAUAUUGGGCUGAUGGGUCUGGAACACCAGCGCAGGUUUCUGCUGAGCCUUGGCACCUUACAACCCAGCAGCCCAUCUGCUGUGCUGAGGCCAUUGUGGUGGAAGAUGCCUCAAGCCAAAAGGAGGAAGGAGAGGUGGCAUCUCCAGACCUGGCCGAGGCAAACCCCAGGGUGGGUGAAGAUCCACCCCCACUGGAAGGGCCAGAUGUCAUCGUGCCUAUCCUCAAGGAUGAUGGGUCCUACAUGCUCUGUGGAUUUUGGGCUGAUGAGUCUGAAGCACCAGUCCAGGCCUGUGCUGAGCUCUGGCACCUUGCAACCCAGAAGCCCAUUUGCUGUGCUGAAGCCAUUGCAGGUGAGUCCUUUGAUGUGACUCUAGCUGCAGACCUGAUAAACCUCCUGAGUGCACCUGGUGACCCUGUUAUGCUUUCUUGAACACUGCUGGGAAAGAUUGUGAUGGGGUAGGCUGAACCAUGGGGCAGAUCUAGAUUGACAGAGACAGAACCUGGGGUAGAGUUUGCUGCACUAAUUUAGGCAUGUGUUAUUUAACCAGAGAUCCCCAUGUUAUGCCCCAUGCUCAGCAGUGAAUCCGACCAUGUCACUGUGCCCAAAGCAGGUGUGAUGGCAUGGCCCGGGCUUUGGAGCCUGUGCUCAUUCAUGUGACAGGGUUUUCUUCCAGGCCUCCACUUGAAGAGUGGGAUGCCUUUUAUCAGUGCAGGCUUCCUUGUGAAACCUCUGCCCCAUUUGGUUACCAAGACACUGCAUGCCUGCCAGGACAGCUAUUCUGGCUACUUUCUCAGCCUGAGAUCUCCACCAGAUCCCGCUGAGUAGGGUCACACUCUCUCACGUUCCCACUGUGGUGAUGUCAUUCCAGAUCAGGAAUCCUCAGCCAUGUAUUGAGAGUUCCAUCCUGAAGUAGUCAGUACUGGCCUCGUGUCUAUCUGGAUGCUCUAAGGGGCACAGUGUCUGCCUGGCACCGAAAGACGUCAGUGCUGUGAGCCCCUGUUGGAUUCACAUGUUCAUAUUGCAGCAGAGUGUGUGUACCUGGGAAUCUCCCACUUUGGAUGUUGCAUGGGAUGGUCCUCCCAUUGUGUGUUUGGUCUCUUAGAACAUAUCUGACUCACAGGCCAAGGACACAUAUGGUUGAAAAUAGCUGACCACUUGUGGAAGAUCAGGAUGCCUGUUUUGUGUUAUGAAAAACUUCCCAGGUAGGGAGGGAGGGCUACAUUGUUAGACAGAGGACUUGCCAUUCCAGGUUUGUCCUCCUGUGAGUGAGGCUGUGGCUAACACAGGCAGUUCCACAACUUGACAGCAUAGGUGUCUUCAGAAGCUGUGUGACAGUGGGUGGUGCCUUACUUUAUGCCAUCUCAUGUACAUGUCAUCCCAUUGACCACAUCCUGUCCGAUUUGCACUCUCUGCAGUGGAAGAGCCCUCC
rnacentral:lncRNA from 1 species